GGCCGCGGGGGCCGAGUGGUAAGUCUCGCAACUUUGAUUCAUCAGGUCAUGGGUUCGAGGCCCACCGCGGUCU